GACGAACGCUGGCGGCGUGCCUAAUACAUGCAAGUAGAACGCACAGUUUAUACCGUAGCUUGCUCCACCAUAAACUGUGAGUUGCGAACGGGUGAGUAACGCGUAGGUAACCUGCCUGGUAGCGGGGGAUAACUAUUGGAAACGAUAGCUAAUACCGCAUAAUAUUGAUUAUUGCAUGAUAAUUGAUUGAAAGAUGCUAUUGCAUCACUACCAGAUGGACCUGCGUUGUAUUAGCUAGUAGGUGAGGUAACGGCUCACCUAGGCGACGAUACAUAGCCGACCUGAGAGGGUGAUCGGCCACACUGGGACUGAGACACGGCCCAGACUCCUACGGGAGGCAGCAGUAGGGAAUCUUCGGCAAUGGACGAAAGUCUGACCGAGCAACGCCGCGUGAGUGAAGAAGGUGUUAGGAUCGUAAAGCUCUGUUGUAAGAGAAGAACGGGUGUGAGAGUGGAAAGUUCACACUGUGACGGUAUCUUACCAGAAAGGGACGGCUAACUACGUG
rnacentral:rRNA from 1 species